rnacentral:rRNA from 1 species
AGAGUGAACGCUGGCGGUAGGCCUAACACAUGCAAGUCGAACGGCAGCACAGGAGAGCUUGCUCUCUGGGUGGCGAGUGGCGGACGGGUGAGGAAUACAUCGGAAUCUACCUUUUCGUGGGGGAUAACGUAGGGAAACUUACGCUAAUACCGCAUAAGACCUUCGGGUGAAAGCCGGGGACCUUCGGGCCUGGCGCGGAUAGAUGAGCCGAUGUCGGAUUAGCUUGUGGCGGGGUAAAGGCCCACCAAGGCGACGAUCCGUAGCUGGUCUGAGAGGACGACCAGCCACACUGGGACUGAGACACGGCCCAGACUCCGUACGGGAGGCAGCAGGUGGGGAAUUUGGACAAGUAGGGGGAAACCGUGAUCCAGCCACUCCGCGUGUGACGAUGAAGGCCGUUCGGGUUAGUAACG